rnacentral:tRNA from 1 species
GGUCCUGUAGCUCAGUUGAGAGAGUAUCACCUUGACAUGGUGGGGGUCGCUGGUUCGAGACCAGUCGGGACCA